rnacentral:rRNA from 1 species
ACCUACGGGGGGCAGCAGUGAGGAAUAUUGGUCAAUGGUCGGGAGACUGAACCAGUCAAGCCGCGUGAGGGAUGAAGGUACAGAGUAUCGUAAACCUCUUUUGUCAGGGAACAAAGGCGGGGACGCGUCCCCGGAUGAGUGUACCUGAAGAAAAAGCAUCGGCUAACUCCGUGCCAGCAGCCGCGGUAAUACGGAGGAUGCGAGCGUUAUCCGGAUUUAUUGGGUUUAAAGGGUGCGCAGGCGGGCUGUUAAGUCAGCGGUCAAAGCCCGGGGCCCAACCCCGGCCCGCCGUUGAAACUGGCAGG